AGUAGGGAAUCUUCCACAAUGGGUGCAAACCUGAUGGAGCAAUGCCGCGUGAAUGAAGAAGGUCUUCGGAUCGUAAAGUUCUGUUAUUAGAGAAGAACAAGUCAAGGAGUAACUGUCUUGACUUUGACGGUACCUAACCAGAAAGUCACGGCUAACUACGUGCCAGCAGCCGCGGUAAUACGUAGGUGACAAGCGUUGUCCGGAAUUAUUGGGCGUAAAGGGAGCGCAGGCGGUUGGAAUAGUCUGAUGUGAAAGCCCACGGCUUAACCGUGGAAGGUCAUUGGAAACUGUCCAACUUGAAUGCAGAAGAGGUAAGUGGAAUUCCAUGUGUAGCGGUGAAAUGCGUAGAUAUAUGGAGGAACACCAGUGGCGAAGGCGACUUACUGGUCUGUGAUUGACGCUGAGGCUCGAAAGCGUGGGUAGCGAACAGGAUUAGAUACCCUGGUAGUCCACGCCGUAAACGAUGAGUGCUAAGUGUUGGAGGGUUUCCGCCCUUCAGUGCUGGAGUUAACGCAU
rnacentral:rRNA from 1 species